rnacentral:rRNA from 1 species
GAUGAACGCUGGCGGCGUGCCUAACACAUGCAAGUCGAGCGAACAGACGCGGCGUUUGCUCCUCUCACGUUAGCGGCGCACGGGUGAGUCACACGUGGAUAACCUACCUAUCAGUCUGGGAUAACUUCGGGACACCGGCGAUAAUACCGGAUAAUAUAUUGCACCGCAUGGUUCAAUGGUGAAAUUCGGCUUUGCUGGCUCUUAUCGAUGGAUCUGAGCGGGUUUAGCUAGUUGGUACGUUCACAGCUUAGCAAGGGGAGGAUGCGUAGCCGACCUGCGAGGGGGGUCGGCCACACUGGAACUGAGACACGGUCCAGACUCCUACGGGAGGCAGCAGUCGGGAAUCGUAGGCAAUGGGGGAGAGCCUGACGGAGCAGCGCGGCGUGAGUGAUGAAGGUCUUCGGAUCGGGAUACUCUGUUAUGAGGUAAGAACAAAUGUGUAAGGAGAUGUGCACGGCUUGACGGUACUGGAUAAGGAAGCAACGGCUAACUACGUG